AACUUGUAUUGCAGCUGCAGCUGCCGAUUAGUGUGCUUACCGAGGUGCUUAUACUAACGAUUAAUGUAAAAUAGAAGAUUGACGUAAAUAUGAUAGGGAAAUUUUUCCGCUGGAUUAGAUUCACCUUGUUAUAUUAUUAUAGCUACACGAUUAUAAAGUAUAUAGAGACUCGAAAUUUGUAUUUUUACUCAAAAUGUUGAACUUCAUAUUCUUGUUUAUCUAAUUCAAAAGUAAAACUCGUUGAUCAAUUAAAACGAAAAAAAAAACUAUUUAUAAACCGAAUCCAAGCUCGUUAAGAAUAUGCGUAAUUUUAUUUUCUUAUAUCAUACGUGAAGAAGUUGUCGUACGUACGUGCGGUUGAACACUCAAAAAUGAAAUAACAAAAAAUAAAAAACUAUACCGAAUAAUUGCGAGAAGAUGAGAAUGCCAGCAGACACUCUGGAAUCGUUUCGAGAAGCAACCAUUUUUAAAAUGUUUCAACAUUCAAUGCAUUCGACUCAUCGCCGGUGACGAUGUUGAAAAUUUUGAACAUCAAUUCGUAUAUAAAAAAUUUAUACCUCGGCAGCAUCGUCGUCGUUGUAUAGGUACGUACGUACGUACACCUGUAGCGAUAACCGGAUAUCGUCUACGUAUACGAAAAAAAUUAAAAGAAAUGCGGGCGGACGUAACGACAGAAUCCAGGUAGAAAUCGAAGAGCGUUACAAAUCGUGGAAAUGUGGGCUGAAGAUGAGAGAAGAGAGAAAAAAAAAAAAGGUGAAAUGGUGGAAGAAAGAAGGUUGAACCGUUCGGUUAUUACGGCAUGACCUCAUUUCCCCGGUGAAGAUAAGGAUUUUCCAUGCAUCCAUCCGGACGACGCGCGUCGGGUUGAGAAACCAGUAGAUCAUGGAAAUGGAUAGUGUAGAAUUUACGAGGUCACGAGCGAAUCAAAGGAAUGCCGUUGCCUGGAACACACCGAACAUUCGGUCGAAAUCGUCAAGCUCCAGGUUCUAAAUCGGUUGAACAAGGAAUAUAUUCCGUAUUAAUGGGAGAAAAAAUAUACGAAGACGUAAGAGGACCAACAACAGCAAAAUUCAGCUGUUAAUCUGUUAACUUUUCUAAUUAACGUCAACCUCGUAUCAUCGCACGGGGUUCGGUUGAUCGGUAGCGGGUCUUUU